CCUACGGGAGGCAGCAGUAGGGAAUCUUCCACAAUGGGCGAAAGCCUGAUGGAGCAACGCCGCGUGGGUGAAGAAGGUCUUCGGAUCGUAAAACCCUGUUGAUAGAGAAGAAAGGGCGUGAGAGUAACUGUUCACGUCUCGACGGUAUCUAACCAGAAAGCCACGGCUAACUACGUGCCAGCAGCCGCGGUAAUACUUAGGUGGCAAGCGUUAUCCGGAUUUAUUGGGCGUAAAGGGAACGCAGGCGGUCUUUUAAGUCUGCUGUGAAAGCCUUCGGCUUAACCGGAGGUGUGCAUUGGAAACUGGGAGACUUGAUUGCAGCAGAGUAGAGUGGAACUCCAUGUGUAGCGGUGACCUGCGU
rnacentral:rRNA from 1 species